GCACUACUAAGCCAGCCCCUGUUGCCAUGGUUUGGGUCCUACAGACUGCGGGAGAAACCAUUUUGCCGACUACGCAUGCUGGUGCAGCUCUACACCUCAAAUACAGUCUUGCCAAUGAGAAGCCACAAUCCAGGAGACCAUGAACCAUGACACCUAACCCAUUUCAAAGGAGAGGAUCAGGUGUGAUGAACUGGGCAGGAGUGUGAGGAAUAGUACUCAACCAUGGUUUUCAUUCAUCCUACAUCUUUAAAAACACUGUGGUUUAUAUGGAUAACUGAAGCCUGCUAAGAAAUGAAGGUGAAGGACAUAUCCAAGAUGUCACCAUAACCUACAACAUUUAUUAUUAGAUGUCUGCUUAAAAUACCAAUCCACUCCAGUGGUCUGAUAAACAAUCUUGUAUUGUAUUCAUCUUGUCAGUGUACUGGAUUUAAUCGUAUCUUGUGUUAUUUAAAAAAAAUUUGGCAAGAUAAAAAACUGAUUCAUUCUGAGUUAAAGAAAUUCCCUGGGAACAAAAUAGAAUCUAUUAUAGUCCUUCUUUUGCAACUUUUACAGUAAUUGCGCUACAUCACCAUGAAAAGAAAAAAAAACAAUAUUCAUUAUAAUAUACUGUAUAUUGUUUCUUUAUGCCUUCUACAAAAUGAUGAUUUUGACUUUAACAGAAUCAGUCGGAAUUUAGGUCCUGAAGCUCUAAUUUUUUUUCUUUCCAGAGACGACCAACCUUUGCCUUCACCAUAGUAAAUCCACUUAAUUGAAAGAUAAGAGUUGACGCUUUGAUGGCCACCUUAACUAGAACCUAAGCAAUUAUGCUACUCUUUAAUUUAAUCAGAAUUCUUCUGAA